rnacentral:rRNA from 1 species
GAUGAACGCUGGCGGCGUGCCUAAUACAUGCAAGUCGAGCGAACAGACGAGGAGCUUGCUCCUCUGACGUUAGCGGCGGACGGGUGAGUAACACGUGGAUAACCUACCUAUAAGACUGGGAUAACUUCGGGAAACCGGAGCUAAUACCGGAUAAUAUAUUGAACCGCAUGGUUCAAUAGUGAAAGACGGUUUUGCUGUCACUUAUAGAUGGAUCCGCGCCGCAUUAGCUAGUUGGUAAGGUAACGGCUUACCAAGGCAACGAUGCGUAGCCGACCUGAGAGGGUGAUCGGCCACACUGGAACUGAGACACGGCCCAGACUCCUACGGGAGGCAGCAGUAGGGAAUCUUCCGCAAUGGGCGAAAGCCUGACGGAGCAACGCCGCGUGAGUGAUGAAGGUCUUCGGAUCGUAAAACUCUGUUAUUAGGGAAGAACAAAUGUGUAAGUAACUAUGCACGUCUUGACGGUACCUAAUCAGAAAGCCGCGGCUAACUACGUG